UUGCAAUGCCUAAAGUUCUUUGGAUUUAGGAAGUUUAUUUUUAAUUCUUCUUUUUUCCCCCAUGAUUUUAGGUUCUUUAUCUUCCUAGUUGUAGAAUCACAAUAAAUGCUGUCAGUUUUAAUGUGAAUAAAAUGUCAAUGCCAGGAAGUGCAUCUGGUUGCAAAAAAUAACUCCAACUCUUCUAACUUCAUUUAUUUUAAAAAUUUUUGGUAUUAGUUCUUUGGAGGCUGAUAUCAGAUUUUGUUAACAAGUCCUUCGAAUCCAUAAGUAAAUAAAUUUAAUGUUCAUUUAAAUAAAAAAAGACUUUAUAUCUGCCAUUAAAGGAAAUGUUGCUCUGAUUUUUAAUGCAAUAAAAGAACUUGAUCCAGCAGCAUUUAAUAUUAAUUAACUAUAUCAACACAACAGUUUCUUUUGAAGUAGACACUUUACGUAAUAACCAAUCUUCUUCAUUUAAACUACCUGAUAUUAAUAAUGCUUAUAAAAUUUCAUAUCAAAUCCAAUAUAGUGAGUUAUGUGAAAAACUUCUUUGUUAAAAGAAAUGGCAACGUCAUGUGCAAGAAAUGUGAGAUCUAUCAAAAGAAACACAAGGAAAAAAAUCGAAACCUGUAUACCUGCUAUUACAAAUGCUAUUAGCUGUUUACUAAUGUAUCAUAAUCAACAAAUGAAUGCUAAUGUCAUUGUUAAUUCUUUAGUUCUUCAGAGAGGAAAAGUUGACAAAAUGACUUUUAACAGGCUUCAAUCUUUAAAUAUUUGCUUAUCACAUACAUCAGUCUUGAAAAAACAUGUAAUGUUGGGGGAAAAUUGUUAUCUACCAAUUCAUAAGCUGGCUUGUGAAUUGGAAUACAGUGCAAUAAGUUUAGUAUCAAAAAUAUCUUCUGCUCUGAACCAAGAAUGUGAAGAUAUUCCAA